GGAUAAGUCGGUAGCUCAGUGGUAGAGUACAUGCGUUGUAUGUAUGAUGUCCAGGGUUAAAUUCCCUGCUUCUCCA